UACGAAGGGAGCAAGCGUUGUUCGGAAUUACUGGGCGUAAAGGGCGCGUAGGCGGAAUGAUGGGUUAGAUGUGAAAAACCUGGGCUUAACCUGGGAACUGCAUUUAAAACUAUUGUUCUAGAGUACUGGAGGGGAUGGCGGAAUUCCUAGUGUAGAGGUGAAAUUCGUAGAUAUUAGGAAGAACACCGACGGCGAAGGCAGCCAUCUGGACAGUAACUGACGCUGAGGCGCGAAAGCGUGGGGAGCAAACAGG
rnacentral:rRNA from 1 species